GUGAAUCAUCAAAUUUUUGAACGCAAAUUGCGCUUCCUGGCAUCCCGGGAAGUAUGCCUGUUUGAGUGUCAGUAUUAAUAAAAAAUCGGUUUAUUUACAAAUUGUUACGUUUCCUGAGUUUGGACUAUCUUAACAUUUUUGGUUAAGAGGCGUAAAAUUGACCUUUUUUCCGCGGUUUUAAACUUACAUAAAUUUUUUCUAUUCGUCUAUUCUUAAUGCCAAAAUCUUAUUAGAUGCGAUCACAUCCUUUUGCUUCGUAUCCAUAA
rnacentral:misc_RNA from 1 species